GUCUGCAGGCUAACAGCUAGCAAACGUCCUAUCAGCUGCCUGCAGCACUUCCUCCUCCUCCUCCUUCUCCUCCUGCUGCUGCUGACACGCAGCUCCGCAUUCCUCACCAGACUAUGACAGACUCUAAUGUGAAACAAAAACAUAUACUUGGAUAGGAAUACAGAUAGGUCUAGUUCAGGGGUGUCAAACAUAUGGCCCUGGGGCCAGAGUGCCAAAGGGUCCAAUCUGGCCCACUAGAUGACUUUGGACACCUCAUGCUGAUGCACAUGUGAAGGCUGAGCAAGUUAAACAAUCAGCGCGUCCAGGCUGCCCUGCGAUGAAGAUCCUUAAUUUACAGUCCUUCCACUUCUUCCUGGUGGUGAGGAUGUAGGGGAGCAGCAAGCCUGCCUGACCAAAAAUCCAGGACAGACGGAUGAACAACAUGACACCCCAGAUGUUCAGCAUGCAUCUCACCUGUGGAAAAGAAGAAAAACGUGAGGUCAAAGUCUUCAGUGUGGUGGGUCAUGAUUUAUU